rnacentral:lncRNA from 1 species
CCGUACCCUGCCUCAGCAGUAAGGAUUAUGACGUUUAUACAAUUUAUUCCGGUUAUUCCUUAUAUGAAUUGCCCAUACAAUCCUGCAGCAAGAUGUUUGACGUUCAAUCCAUACCUGAGGAAGUAUUUUACAAUCUGUCCUCUUUUCAAUUGGAAUGGUCCAGACCAUCUUGUGGACAUUGCGAAUCCAAUGGCAAACAUUGUAGAUUGAAGAAUGACAGUUCAAUCUUGCAUGAUACUGAAUGCGACAGCAGCAAACCAGAAGGUAAUUUUACAUAUAUUUUCC